CCGUGAGUGUAUAGAGUAAGUGUAUGUGAGCUUGCAACAGCUGGUGACGUCACAAACCGAGUUUGGAGCACACAGUUACAUAACAGCAAUUAUUUUCCAGUACUUUCAUCGUUUCUCGCAGACGUUCUCGGUUUCAAUCUUUGCAAACACAUUCUGCAUUCUAAUUUCGAGUUUGCAGUUUUUUGAAUGUACAUCCCUUUAAAAGUUAUACAAUAAAGUCAGCUCAGGAAAUACUGGAAAUAUCAUACUGCCACAACUCUGAUUCAUUAUUCUUAAAAGAAUCAAAGCGUUACGAGAAGCGUUUUAUAAAGAAAAUGUGCGAUCCCAUGCAGAAUCAGGUGUUUGCACAUUGCCACAACUCUGAGUUUUCAUCCUCAGAAGAAUUAGAGUUGUUGCAAGCUUUACAGAGGGAAUAUAUGGUCAAAUCCGGAAUCAUUAGGUGUUUAAAGUUGAAGCAGAACAUGAAACUUCAUAAAAUUAAAAGAAUUCUGUAUGAGAUAGAUCGAAUGAAGAAUGAAAUAUAUUUUAUGAAAAACAUAUUUGAUGUAUGCGAAUCGAAUGCAGAAUGAAAUACGUGUUUAACAUAUGAUGUAAAUUUAACGUGUUUAACGUAUGAUGUAAAUUUAAUUAUUACUGUUUUUGAUCUUAGAGGUUUUGGUGUUCAUAUCACCAGCAACAAAUAUCUGUAUGACAUUACCUUAUUAUGUGGAUAACUUUUUUUAUAAGUGUACAGUGAAUUGUUACUAUAGAGAAUUCUUAUUAUUAUUGUAAAAUAAUUGGUGAAUUAUUAAAUGACUUUUGUUUAUUUUCUAUCUUGCAACUAAAAUAUUUCAAAGAAAUAUACUAUCAGCCAAUGCAUACAUAUGCAGUGCAAUGGAAGUACGCUAUUGUUCUCAGCACAGCCAUACACCAAGACCCAUUAUAAGUAUUAGUAUUAAUAUUAUAUAAUACACGUAUAAGUAUUAAUAUUUAUAUUAAUUAGAUAACACAUUGCUAUUAUUAACAGUAAUAACAUUUACAUAUUAUUUUAAUUGUUAAGAAACACAUAUACCUAAUAUUAAUCUUAUUGAA